rnacentral:rRNA from 1 species
CGGGGGGGCAAGCGUUGUUCGGAAUUACUGGGCGUAAAGGGCGCGUAGGCGGCCUGCUAAGUCGGACGUGAAAUCCCUCGGCUCAACCGGGGAACUGCGUCCGAUACUGGUGGGCUCGAAUCCGGGAGAGGGAUGUGGAAUUCCAGGUGUAGCGGUGAAAUGCGUAGAUAUCUGGAGGAACACCGGUGGCGAAGGCGGCAUCCUGGACCGGUAUUGACGCUGAUGCGCGAAAGCCAGGGGAGCAAACGGGAUUAGAUACCCCGGUAGUCCUGGCCCUAAACGAUGAGUGCUUGGUGUGGCGGGUAUCGAUCCCUGCCGUGCCGAAGCUAACGCAUUAAGCACUCCGCCUGGGGAGUACGGUCGCAAAGCUG